GACGAACGCUGGCGGCGUGCUUAACACAUGCAAGUCGAACGGGAUUUAGUAAACGGAAGCCUCGGUGGAAGAUUACUAAUGAGAGUGGCGAACGGGUGAGUAACGCGUGAGCAACCUGCCUAUGUCAGUGGGAUAGCCUCGGGAAACCGGGAUUAAUACCGCAUAAAAUCGUACAAACACAUGUUUCAACGUUCAAAGAUUUAUCGGUCAUAGAUGGGCUCGCGUCUUAUUAGCUAGUUGGUGAGAUAACAGCCCACCAAGGCGACGAUCAGUAGACGGUCUGAGAGGAUGGACGGACACAUUGGAGCUGAGACACGGUGCAGACUCCUACGGGAGGCAGGAGUGGGGAAUAUUGCACAAUGGGGGAAACCCUGAUGCAGCGACGCUGCGUGAACGAAGAAGGUAUUCGUAUCGUAAAGUUCUGUCCUAUGGGAAGAUAAUGACAGUACCAUAGAAGAAAGCUCCGGCUAAAUACGUG
rnacentral:rRNA from 1 species